CUCAAUAAGAUCUACAAAAAAGUCAGUGCAGGCGUAUCUGUCAAAUGUACGGUUAAAGGGUUAUUUCGCAUUUUUUGCCGAUCCGCACACAUUGGAAUUUCGCUAACUCCUCCGAAGGCUUUCGUUCCAACGGCACCAAAUUUGCUCAGGCCAAUCUACACCCCAUGGCCAUUAAAAGUUGUACAAAUCAUGACGCUGCACCCCACGGUUUACGUUCUAGGGGGCGCCAAAGAUAACCCAAAAAUCCACAGUCUUAAAAGUCUUAUAACUUUUUAUUUUUGUCCUCACUGGCCUCCAAGUUCUCUAGGAUGAUGCAAUGUCCAGCCAUCAACACAUUUGUGAAGGAAUUUUUACUCCCCAAAAGAGCGCCCCCCCAAUGGCAGGAGAAAAAAGUCCAUUUUUUCUUGUCUCCUAAGGCGAAAAUACACAUUGUUGAGUGUCACGCCUUUACGCUUUGUCAAAAUGACACAAAAAUUGACACACACAUGUAUCUCAAUACGAUCUACGAAAAAGUCAAUGCGAGCGUAACUGUUCAAUGUAAAGGGCUAUUUCGCAUUUUUUGCCGAUUCGCACACAUUGGAAUGUGGCUGACUCCUCCUAAAGCUUUUGUCCCAUCGGCUUCAAAUUUGCUCAGGUCAAUCUACACCCCAUGGCCAUUCAAAGUUGUACAAAUCAUGACGCUGCACCCCACGGUUUACGUUCUAGGGGGCUCCAAAGAGGACCCAAAUAUCCACAUUUUUAAAAAUCUUAUAACUUUUUAUUUUUGUCCUCACUGGCCUCCAAGUUCUCUAGGAUGAUGCAAUGUCCAGCCAUCAACACAUUUGUGAAGGAAUUUUUACUCCCCAAAAGAGCGCCCCCCCAAUGGCAGGAGAAAAAAGUCCAUUUUUUCUUGUCUCCUAAGGCGAAAAUACACAUUGUUGACUGUCACGCCUUUACGCUUUGUCAAAAUGACACAAAAAUUGACACACACAUGUAUCUCAAUACGAUCUACGAAAAAGUCAAUGCGAGCGUAUCUGUUCAAUGUAAAGGGCUAUUUCGCAUUUUUUUCCGAUUCGCACACAUUGGAAUGUGGCUGACUCCUCCUAAAGCUUUUGUCCCAUCGGCUUCAAAUUUGCUCAGGUCAAUCUACACCCCAUGGCCAUUCAAAGUUGUACAAAUCAUGACGCUGCACCCCACGGUUUACGUUCUAGGGGGUGCCAAAGAUGACCCAAAUAUCCACAUUUUUAAAAGUCUUAUAACUUUUUAUUUUUGUCCUCACUGGCCUCCAAGUUUUCUAGGAUGAUGCAUUGUCCAGCCAUCAACACAUUUGUGAAAGAAUUUUUUCUCCCCAAAAGAGCGCCCCCCCAUGGCAGGAGAAAAAGUCAAGUUUUUCCUGCCCAUCGCUCAAUGGCUCAAACGCAUCUCUCUCUCGGCAAAACGGAAAGGAGGAGCAACUUGCCAUUUGGAUAUGUACUAGCUGUGUUUGUGCCCUCACUCAUGGUCCAGACUUUUUUCAAAAAGGACAUGGAGUUUGUCUGCAGCGAGCGUUUUGGUAGAAACUGCGCCUCCCAUUCAUUAUAAUGGUAAAUGACCACAGACAAGUGCGCACACCAUCUUUGGACCUUGAGUGUGACGCGAUCGGGAGGGGUAGGCGGUCGCGCUGGGGGCGGCGCGACACGGCUCGGGCCCGCCAGUGCCCCAACGGGGCCCUAGUGUUAUUAUUAUUAUUUUUCCUCCGCUUUAAACUGGAAAAUGGCCCACUUCCCACUGGCGAAAACUCAUGAAAUUUGGCAGGACGACCGGGCCUGGUGAAAAAUUCGAUAUUCUGAAGUCGCCCAAACAAGAAAAUGCAAAAUGGCUCAAAAGCGCCCCCAAAGGUGAAAAUUCACACUAUUGACUGUCACGCCUGUACGCUUUGUCAUAUUGACACAAAAAUUGACAGACACAUGUAUCUCAAUAAGAUCUACAAAAAAGUCAGUGCGGGCGUAUCUGUCAAAUGUACGGUUAAAGGGUUAUUUCGCAUUUUUUGCCGUUCCGCACACAUUGGAAUGUGGCUAACUCCUCCGAAGGCUUUCGUUCCACCAGCACUACAUUUGCUCAGGCCAAUCUACACCCCAUCACUUUUUAUUUUUGUCCUCACUGGCCUCCAAGUUUUCUAGGAUGAUGCAAUGUCCAGCCAUCAACACAUUUGUGAAGGAAUUUUUACUCCUUAAAAGAGCGCCCCCCCAUGGCAGGAGAAAAAAAUCAAUUUUUUCUUGUCCCAUAAGGUGAAAAUACACAUUGUUCAGUGUCACGCCUGUACGCUUUGUCUUAUUGACACAAAAUUUAACAAUCACGUGUAUCUCAAUAAGAUCUACGAAGAAGUCAAUGCGCACGUAUCUGUAAAAUGUACGGUUAAAGGUCUAUUUUGCAUUUUGUGCCGAUUCGCACACAUUGGAAUGCGGCUAACUCCUCCUAAAGCUUUCGUCCCACCUACACCAAAUUUGCUCAGGCCAAUCUACACCCCAUGGCCAUUCAAAGUUGUACAAAUCAUGACGCUGCACCCCACGGUUUAGGUUCUAGGGGGCGCCAAAGAGGACCCAAAUAUCCACAUUUUUAAAAGUCUUAUAACUUUUUUUUUUUGUCCUCACUGGCCUCCAAGUUUUCUAGGAUGAUGCAAUGUCCAGCCAUCAACACAUUUGGGAAGGAAUUUUUACUCCCCAAAAGAGCGCCCCCCCAUGGCAGGAGAAAAAGUCAAGUUUUUCCUGCCCAUCGCUCAAUGGCUCAAACGCAUCGCUCUCUCGGCAAAACCGAAAGGAGGAGCAACUUGCCAUUUGGAUAUAUACUAGCUGUGUUUGUGCCCUCACUCAUGGUCCAGACUUUUUUCAAAAAGGACAUGGAGUUUGUCUGCAGCAAGCGUUUUGGUAGAAACUGCGCCUCCCAUUCAUUAUAAUGGUAAAUGACCACAGACAAGUGCGCACACCAUCUUUGGACCUUGAGUGUGACGCAAUCGGGAGGGGUAGGCGGUCGCGCUGGGGGCGGCGCGACACGGCUCGGGCCCGCCAGUGCCCCACCGGGGCACUAGUUAUUAUUUUUCCUCCGCUUUAAACUGGAAAAUGGCCCACUUCCCACUGGCGAAAACUCAGGAAAUUUGGCAGGACGACCGGGCCUGGUGAAAAAUUCGAUAUUCUGAAGUCUCCCAAACAAGAAAAUGCAAAAUGGCUCCAUAGCGCCCCCUAAGGUGAAAAUUCACACUAUUGACUGUCACGCAUGUACGCUUUGUCAUAUUGACACAAAAAUUGACACACACAUGUAUCUCAAUAAGAUCUACAAAAAAGUCAGUGCGGGCGUAUCUGUCAAAUGUAUGGUUAAAGGGUUAUUUCGCUUUUUUUGCAGAUCCGCACACAUUGGAAUUUCGCUAACUCCUCCGAAGGUUUUCGUUCCACCAGCACCACAUUUGCUCAGGCCAAUCUACACCCCAUGGCCAUUCAAAGUUGUACAAAUCAUGACGCUGCACCCCACGGUUUACGUUCUAGGGGGCGCCAAAGAUAACCCAAAAAUCCACAGUCUUAAAAGUCUUAUAACUUUUUAUUUUUGUCCUCACUGGCCUCCAAGUUCUCUAGGAUGAUGCAAUGUCCAGCCAUCAACACAUUUGUGAAGGAAUUUUUACUCCCCAAAAGAGCGCCCCCCCAUGGUAGGAGAAAAAAGUCAAUUUUUUCUUGUCCCCUUACAUGAAAAUACACAUUGUUGAGUGUCACGCCUGAACGCUUUGUCAUAUUGACAAAAAAUUUGACACACACAUGUAUCUCAAUAAGAUCUACGAAAAAGUCAAUGCACGCGUAUCUGUAAAAUGUACGGCUAAACGGCUAUUUUGCAUUUUUUGCCGAUUCGCACACAUUGGAAUGUGGCUAACUCCUCCUAAGGCUUUCGUCCCACUGACACCAAUUUUGCUCAGGCCAAUCUACACCCCAUGGCCAUUCAAAGUUGUAAAAAUCAUGCCGUUGCACCCCACGGUCUACGUUCUAGGGGGCGCCAAAGAGGACCCAAAUAUCCACAUUUUUAAAAGUCUUAUAACUUUUUAUUUUUGUCCUCACUGGCCUCCAAGUUUUCUAGGAUGAUGCAAUGUCCAGCCAUCAACACAUUUGUGAAGGAAUUUUUUCUCCCCAAAAGAGCACCCCCCCAUGGCAGGAGAAAAAGUCAAGUUUUUCCUGCCCACCGCUCAAUGGCUCAAACGCAUCACUCUCUCGGCAAAACCGAAAGGAGGAGCAACUUGCCAUUUGGAUAUAUACUAGCUGUGUUUGUGCCCUCACUCAUGGUCCAGACUUUUUUCAAAAAGGACAUGGAGUUUGUCUGCAGCAAGCGUUUUGGUAGAAACUGCGCCUCCCAUUCAUUAUAAUGGUAAAUGACCACAGACAAGUGCGCACACCAUCUUUGGACCUUGAGUGUGACGCGAUCGGGAGGGGUAGGCGGUCGCGCUGGGGGCGGCGCGACACGGCUCGGGCCCGCCAGUGCCCCACCGGGGCCCUAGUUCUUUCUUUCUUUCUUCUUAUUUUUCCUCCCCUUUGAAGGGGAAAAUGGCCCACUUCCCACUGGCGAAAACUCAGGAAAUUUGGCAGGACGACCGGGCCUGGUGAAAAAUUCGAUAUUCUGAAGUCGCCCAAACAAUAAAAUGCAAAAUGGCUCCAUAGCGCCCCCUAAGGUGAAAAUUCACCCUAUUGACUGUCACGCCAGUACGCUUUGUCAUAUUGACACAAAAUUUGACACACACAUGUAUCUCAAUAAGAUCUACAAAAAAGUCAGUGCGGGCGUAUCUGUCAAAUGUACGGUUAAAGGGUUAUUAGGGCCCGAGCGUAGCUGCUAAGCAGCUGCGAGAGCCCUCUUGUUCCUGAUGGAUUCUUCUUUCGUUAUUUUUCCUCCGCUUUAAACUGGAAAAUGGCCCACUUCCCACUGGCGAAAACUCAGGAAAUUUGGCAGGACGACCGGGCCUGGUGAAAAAUUCGAUAUUCUGAAGUCGCCCAAACAAAAAAAUGAAAAAUGGCUCCAUAGCGCCCCCUAUGGUGAAAACUCACCUGACACCUGUACGCUUUGUCAAAAUGACACAAAAUUUGACACACAUGUGUAUCUCAAUAAGAUCUACAAAAAAGUCAGUGCGGGCGUAUCUGUCAAAUGUACCGUUAAAGGGCUAUUUCGCAUUUUUCGCUGAUCCGCACACAUUGGAAUUUCGCUAACUCCUCCGAAGGCUUUCGUUCCACCGGCACCAAAUUUGCUCAGGCCAAUCUACACCCCAUGGCCAUUAAAAGUUGUACAAAUCAUGACGCUGCACCCCACGGUUUACGUUCUAGGGGGCGCCAAAGAUAACCCAAAAAUCCACAUUCUUAAAAGUCUUAUAACUUUUUAUUUUUGUCCUCACUGGCCUCCAAGUUUUUCUAGGAUGAUGCAAUGUCCAGCCAUCAACACAUUUGUGAAGAAAUUUUUACUCCCCAAAAGAGCGCCCCCCAUGGCAGGAGAAAAAAGUCCAUUUUUUCUUGUCCCCUAAGGUGAAAAUACACAUUGUUGAGUGUCAUGCCUGAACGCUUUGUCAUAUUGACACAAAAUUUGACACACACGUGUAUCUCAAUAAGAUCUACGAAAAAGUCAAAGAGCGCGUAUCUGUAUAAUGUACGGUUAAAGGGCUAUUUCGCAUUUUUUGCCGAUCCGCACACAUUGGAAUUUCGCUAACUCCUCCGAAGGCUUUCGUUCCACCGGCACAACAUUUGCUCAGGCCAAUCUACACCCCAUGGCCAUUAAAAGUUGUACAAAUCAUGACGCUGCACCCCACGGUUUAGGUUCUAGGGGGCGCCAAAGAUAACCCAAAAAUCCACAUUCUUAAAAGUCUUAUAACUUUUUAUUUUUGUCCUCACUGGCCUCCAAGUUUUCUAGGAUGAUGCAAUGUCCAGCCAUCAACACAUUUGUGAAGGAAUUUUUACUCCCCAAAAGAGCGCCCCCCCAUGGCAGGAGAAAAAAGUCCAUUUUUUCUUGUCCCAUAAGGUGAAAAAACACAUUGUUGAGUGUCACGCCUCUACGCUUUGUCAAAAUGACACAAAAUUUGACAAUCACGUGUAUCUCAAUAAGAUCUAUGAAAAACUCAUGCGCAAAUAUCUGUAAAAUGUACGGUUAAAGGGCUAUUUUGCAUUUUUUGCCGAUUCGCACACAUUGGAAUGUGGCUAACUCCUCCUAAGGCUUUCGUCCCACUGACACCAAAUUUGCUCAGGCCAAUCUACACCCCAUGGCCAUUCAAAGUUGUAAAAAUCAUGACGCUGCACCCCACGGUUUACGUUCUAGGGGGUGCCAAAGAUGACCCAAAUAUCCACAUUCUUAAAAGAAUCCACAUCCCCCCCUCCCCCCAUGGCAGGAGAAAAAGUCAAGUUUUUCCUGCCCAUCGCUCAAUGGCUCAAUCGCAUCGCUCUCUCGGCAAAAGCGAAAGGAGGAGCAACUUGCCAUUUGGAUAUAUCCUAGCUGUGUUUGUGCCCUCACUCAUGGUCCAGACUUUUUUCAAAUAGGACAUGUAGUUUGUCUGCAGCGAGUGUUUUGGUAGAAACUGCGCCUCCCAUUCAUUAUAAUGGGAAAUAACCACAGACAAGUGCGCACUCCAUCUUUGGACCUAGAGUGUGACGCGAUCGGGAGGUGGAGGCAGUCGCGCUGGGGGCGGCGUGACGCGGCUCGGGCCCGACAGUGCCCCACCGGGGCCCUAGUUUUGCAUUUUUUGCCGACCCGCACACAUUGGAAUUUCACUAACUCCUCCGAAGGCUUUCGUUCCACCAGCACCACAUUUGCUCAGGCCAAUCUACACCCCAUGGCCAUUCAAAGUUGUACAAAUCAUGACGCUGCACCCCACGGUUUACGUUCUAGGGGGCGCCAAAGAUAACCCAAAAAUCCACAGUCUUAAAAGUCUUAUAACUUUUUAUUUUUGUCCUCACUGGCCUCCAAGUUCUCUAGGAUGAUGCAAUGUCCAGCAAUUAACACAUUUGUGAAGGAAUUUUUACUCGCCAAAAGAGCGCCCCCCCCAUGGCAGGAGAAAAAAGUCCAUUUUUUCUUGUCCCCUAAGGCGAAAAUACACAUUGUUGAGUGUCACGCCUGUACGCUUUGUCAUAUUGACACAAAAUUUGACAAUCACGUGUAUCUCAAUAAGAUCUACGAAAAAGUCAAUGUGCGCGUAUCUGUAAAAUGUACGGUUAAAGGGCUAUUUCGCAUUUUUGGCCGAUCCGCACACAUUGGAAUGCGGCUAACUCCUCCUAAGGCUUUCGUUCCACUGACACCAAAUUUGCUCAGGCCAAUCUACACCCCAUGGCCAUUCAGAGUUGUAAAAAUCAUGACGCUGCACCCCACAGUUUACGUUCUAGGGGGCGCCAAAGAGGACCCAAAUAUCCACAUUUUUAAAAGUCUUAUAACUUUAUUUUUGUCCUCACUGGCCUCCAAGUUUUCUAGGAUGAUGCAAUGUUCAGCCAUCAACACAUUUGUGAAGGAAUUUUUUCUCCCCAAAUGAGGGCCCCCCCCCAUGGCAGGAGAAAAAGUCAAGUUUUUCCUGCCCAUCGCUCAAUGGCUCAAACGCAUCGCUCUCUCGGCAAAACCGAAAUGAGGAGCACCUUGCCAUUUGGAUAUAUACUAGCUGUGUUUGUGCCCUCACUCAUGGUCCAGACUUUUUUCAAAAAGGACAUGGAGUUUGUCUGCAGCGAGCGUUUUGGUAGAAACUGCGCGUCCCAUUCAUUAUAAUGGAAAUGACCACAGACAAGUGCGCACACCAUCUUUGGACCUUGAGUGUGACUCGAUCAGGAGGGGGAGGCGGUCGCGCUGGGGGUGGCGCGACACGGCUCGGGCCCGCCAGUGCCCCAACGGGGCCCUAGUUAGGGCCCGAGCGUAGCUGCUAAGCAGCUGCGAGAGCCCUCUUGUUCCUGUAGUUUCCUUCUUUUGUUAUUAUUAUUAUUUUUCCUCCCCUUUGAACUGGAAAAUGGCCCACUUCCCACUGGCGAAAACUCAUGAAAUUUGGCAGGACGACCGGGCCUGGUGAAAAAUUUGAUAUUCCGAAGUCGCCCAAACAAGAAAAUGCAAAAUGGCUCCAUAGCGCCCCCUAAGGUGAAAAUUCACACUAUUCACUGUCACGCCUGUACGCUUUGUCAAAAUGACACAAAAAUUGACACACACAUGUAUCUCAAUAAGAUCUACAAAAAAGUCAGUGCGGGCGUAUCUGUCAAAUGUACGGUUAAAGGGUUAUUUCGCAUUUUUUGCCGAUCCGCACACAUUGGAAUUUCGCUAACUCCUCCGAAGGCUUUCGUUCCACCGGCACCACAUUUGCUCAGGCCAAUCUACACCCCAUGGCCAUUAAAAGUUAUUCAAAUCAUGACGCUGCACCCCACGGUUUAGGUUCUAGGGGGCGCCAAAGAUAACCCUAAGAUCCACAUAUUUAAAAGUCUUAUAACUUUUUAUUUUUGCCCUCACUGGCCUCCAAGUUUUCUAGGAUGAUGCAAUGUCCAGCCAUCAACACAUUUGUGAAGGAAUUUUUACUCCCCAAAAGAGCGCCCCCCCAUGGCCGGAGAAAAAAGUCCAUUUUUUCUUGUCCCCUAAGGUGAAAAUACACAUUGUUGAGUGUAACACCUGUACGCUUUGGCAAAAUGACACAAAAAUUGACACACACAUGUAUCUCAAUAAGAUCUACGAAAAAGUCAAUGCGCGCGUAUCUGUCAAAUGUACGGUUAAAGGGUUAUUCCGCAUUUUUUGCCGAUCCGCACACAUUGGAAUUUCGCUAACUCCUCCGAAGGCUUUCGUUCCACCGGCACCACAUUUGCUCAGGCCAAUCUACACCCCAUGGCCAUUAAAAGUUAUUCAAAUCAUGAUGCUGCACCCCACGGUUUAGGUUCUAGGGGGCGCCAAAGAUAACCGUAAAAUCCACAUAUUUAAAAGUCUUAUAACUUUUUAUUUUUGUCCCCACUGGCCUCCAAGUUUUCUAGGAUGAUGCAAUGUCCAGCCAUCAACACAUUUGUGAAGGAAUUUUUACUCGCCAAAAGAGCGCCCCCCCAUGGCAGGAGAAAAAAGUCAAUUUUUUCUUGUCCACUAAGGUGAAAAUACACAUUGUUGAGUGCUACGCCUGUAUGUUUUGUCGUAUUGACACAAAAUUUUACAUACACGUGUAUUUCAAUAAGAUCUUCGAAAAAGUCAAUGGCCACGUAUCUGUAAAAUGUACGGUUAAAGGGUUAUUUCGCAUUUUUUGCAGAUUCGCACACAUUGGAAUUUCGCUAAUUCCUCCGAAGGCUUUCGUUCCACCGGCACCACAUUUGCUCAGGCCAAUCUACACCCCAUGGCCAUUAAAAGUUAUUCAAAUCAUGACGCUGCACCCCACGGUUUAGGUUCUAGGGGGCGCCAAAUAUAACCCUAAAAUCCACAUAUUUAAAAGUCUUAUAACUUUUUAUUUUUGUCCUCACUGGCCUCCAUGUUUUCUAGGAUGAUGCAAUGUCCAGCCAUCAACACAUUUGUGAAGGAGUUUUUUCUCUUUAAAAGAGCGCCCCCCAUGGCAGGAGAAUAAAGUCAAGUUUUUCCUGUUCAUCAUUCAAUGGCUCAAACGCACUGCUCUCUCGGCAAAAGCGAAAGGAGGAGCAACUUGCCAUUUGGAUAUAUAUUAGCUGUGUUUGUGCCCUCACUCAUGGUCCAGACUUUUUUCAAAUAGGACAUGGAGUUUUUCUGCAGCGAGCGUUUUGGUAGAAACUGCGCCUCCCAUUCAUUAUAAUGGUAAAUGACCACAAACAAGUGCGCACACCAUCUUUGGACCUUGAGUGUGACGCGAUCGGGUGGGGGAGGCGGUCGCGCUUGGGGCGGCGUGACACGGCUCGGGCCCGCCAGUGCCCCAACGGGGCCCUAGUUCUUUCUUUCUUUCUUCUUUUUCCUCCCCUUUGAACUGGAAAAUGGCCCACUUCCCACUGGCGAAAACUCAGGAAAUUUGGCAGGACGACCGGGCCUGGUGAAAAAUUCCAUAUUCUGAAGUCGCCCAAACAAUAAAAUGCAAAAUGGCUCCAUAGCGCCCCCUAAGGUGGAAAUUCACACUAUUGACUGUCACGCCUGUACGCUUUGUCAUAUUGACACAAAAAUUGACACACAUAUGUAUCUCAAUAAGAUCUACAAAAAAGUCAGUGCGGCCGUAUCUGUCAAAAUUACGGUUAAAGGGUUAUUUCGCAUUUUUUGCCGAUCCGCACACAUUGGAAUUUCGCUAACUCCUCCGAAGGCUUUCGUUCCACCGGCACCACAUUUGCUCAGGCCAAUCUACACCCCGUGGCCAUUAAAAGUUAUCAAAAUCAUGACGCUGCACCCCAAGGUUUAGGUUCUAGGGGGCGCCAAAGAUAACACUAAAAUCCACAUAUUUAAAAGUCUUAUAACUUUUUAUUUUUGUCCUCACUGGCCUCCAAGUUUUCUAGGAUGAUGCAAUGUCCAGCCAUCAACACAUUUGUGAAGGAAUUUUUACUCCCCAAAAGAGCGCCCCCCAUGGCAGGAGAAAAAAGUCCAUUUUUUCUUGUCCCCUAAGGUGAAAAUACACAUUGUUGAGUGUCACGCCUAUACGCUUUGUCAAAAUGACACAAAAAUUGACACACACAUGUAACUCAAUAAGAUCUACGAAAAAGUCAAUGCGCGCGUAUCUGUCAAAUGUACGGUUAAAGGGUUAUUCCGCAUUUUUUGCCGAUCCGCACACAUUGGAAUGUGGCUAACUCCUCCUAAGGCUUUCGUUCCACCGGCACCACAUUUGCUCAGGCCAAUCUACACCCCAUGGCCAUUAAAAGUUAUUCAAAUCAUGACGCUGCACCCCAUGGUUUAGGUUCUAGGGGGCGCCAAAGAUAACCCAAAAAUCCACAUAUUUAAAAGUCUUAUAACUUUUUAUUUUUGUCCUCACUGGCCUCCAAGUUUUCUAGGAUUAUGCAAUGUCCAGCCAUCAACACAUUUGUGAAGGAAUUUUUACUCCCCAAAAGAGCGCCCCCCCAUGGCAGGAGAAAAAAAAGUCCAUUUUUUCUUGUCCCAUAAGGUGAAAAAACACAUUGUUGACUGUCAUACCUGUACGCUUUGUCAUAUUGACACAAAAUUUGACAAUCACAUGUAUCUCAAUAAGAUCUACAAAAAGUCAAUGCGCGCGUAUCUGUAAAAUGUACGGUUAAAGGGCUAUUUUGCAUUUUUUGCCGAUUCGCACACAUUGGAAUGUGGCUAACUCCUCCUAAGGAUUUCGUCCCACUGACACCAAAUUUGCUCAGGCCAAUCUACACCCCAUGGCCAUUCAAAGUUGUAAAAAUCAUGACGCUGCACCCCACGGUUUACGUUCUAGGGGGCGCCAAAGAUGACC